rnacentral:rRNA from 1 species
CAUGAAGCUGGAUUCGCUAGUAAUCGCGCAUCAGCCACGGCGCGGUGAAUACGUUCCCGGGCCUUGUACACACCGCCCGUCAAGCCAUGGAAGCCGGGAGUGCCUGAAGUGCGUGACCGCAAGGAGCGUCCUAAGGCAAUACCGGUGACUGGGGCUAAGUCGUAACAAGGUAAC